rnacentral:rRNA from 1 species
GAUGAACGCUGGCGGCGUGCCUAAUACAUGCAAGUCGAGCGAACAGACGAGGCGCUUGCUCCUCUGACGUUAGCGGCGGACGGGUGAGUAACACGUGGAUAACCUCCCUAUAAGACUGGGAUAACUUCGAGAAACCGGAGCACAUACCGGAUAAUAUAUUUAACCGCAUGGUUCAAUAGUGAAAGACGGUUUUGCUGUCACUUAUAGAUGGAUCCGCGCGGCAUGAGCUAGUUGGUAAGGUAACGGCUUACCAAGGCAACGAUGCGUAGCCGACCGGAUAGAGGGAUCGGCGACACUGGAACGUAGACACGGACCAGAGGCCUACGGGACGGACCAGAAGGGAACGUGAGGCAACAGGGGAAAGCAUGACGGAGUAGCGGCGAGUGAGUGGCGAAGGCGCUGGGUGCGUAAAACUCGGUUACGAGUGAAGAACAAAUGUGGAAGGAGAUAUGCACGUGGUGACGGUACCUAAACAGAAAGCCACGGCUAACUACGUG